GGGACCCCAUCACUGUGACCCCUCCCUGGGACCCUCACGCACAGCCUGGUAUCGGGGGACUGGGUCUCCACGGUGGAGUCGGAAGUCCCUCUCCAGGAGCGCCAAUCUACACCCCACCCGACACGGCCUUGACGUCCGAGAACCCCUUGUUCUUGCUGCAGCGCUGCACCCACAGUUCCCAAACCUCACGACACCCACAACUCGCUGGGGUGAAUUCUGGAAACAGGGCGAGUUGGGCACGGUGUCCAAUUCCACUGCUCCAAAACACCCCUAAGACAACGGCCAGGGCUCCUUUAAGGGUUUAGUCCAUGAGGAGAAGAGACUAGGAAGAAGACGGUGGACACAGGAGGAGGAGAAACUUCUGGAAGAUGGAAGCUGAUCAACUCUCCAUCCAGACAGCUUUGCCAAUUUAAAACGGGACGAAUGGGAAGGAAGAAAGCCUUCGUGAGCAGAGAGGGAGAACUGGAAGACGCAGAAGGCCACCAGGAGCCUGGGAACCACGGGGGAGAGAAGUUGGAAGUGUCAUGGGUGUGGGCCUGCGUGUCCUGCCCCCUGCCAGCACCCCCGCCAUGGAGGUCUUCUCAGGAGCACAGAGCCCCGCUCGUCAGUAUUGAUCAGUUCUGCAGUCUCUGGUCAGCUCAGAAUACCAGGAGCCUGUUUGUCCCUGAGGCAGCCUCCAAAGAUGGGCUGCCACACUGGGAGCAACCUGGGGACUCCCCAGGAGGAGGCCACAAAACGUCUGGAGUCAUGGGAGCUUCCUGGGCACAAUUACCCCUGCCUGCACUCCAGGAACUCUUAAAACUACGUAAGCUUCAUAUGCCUGCAGGACUGCUGACCCUUCUGGCUUUCCAAUCAUUCUACUUUCAUUUGUAUCAGCUGGAAAGUGGGUCCCAUUAAAUAAAAACCAGAGCAGCUGCGGCUCGGCCCCCACCCAAGCACCAGACUCAGCAGAGGUGCCAGAGGUUGCUAGUGCCGGCCCACCUCGUAGACACUGACAAGGGAGAGUGGAGCAAUAGCGGCGGUAGACACACACGUCCCCCUCUGGACUGCCCACACUGCCCUGAUGCUUUAUGUAAAUCGCCACCUUCAACCCAUCCAAAGCCCCCACGGCCUGCCCGCCGUUUUCAUCUCCCUCGUCCACUGUAUCCGGGUAAAACAGCGUCUUCUCUGAGGACAGGGCUGGGUCUCCUCCUGUCGGCUGAAAUUCCCUUGCCAAAUAUAGCAAAUGGAAUCUACAAAACGAAACGGUGAGAGAUUCAAGCAGCUCUGGCAAAUUAGACCAAGUAAAUUGUGCUGUCCCAUCCUGAAAGCGUGCUGGGCUUUCCCGUGACGCUGCACUGCCGGCAGAGCCCCCAGCGGCAACGGACGGAGGGCUCUCCCUCCCUCGCCCUGCCUCCUCACUAAUCCUAUUCCACCACAACGUUUCCUCGACAGUGAAAAAAUCCACCCAGUGGUGUCCAGAUGCUCGAAAGAUCCUGUGAACAGUGUCUGGGUAGUUGCAAAAUAUUUCAAUCUUCAUUGGAUGUUGAGUUUCAUAAUUUCAACCAAAGACAGCCCCAAUUCAGGCUCCCCUGCAGCCAGCCAGCCAAAACCUCCAUCGGAAAUCCUCCUUUUCCAAUCUUUGUCUCAUCAGCCCUGCGAAAAUAAACUUGGCUGGUUGGGACACAUAACAAACCCUGCCAUAGCCAGGUGCCUGUCUGUGUCCCAGGGCCUUCCCAGCCGCUUGCCUCCAUCUAGAUUGCGAAGUGAGGUGUGAACGCACCUCCUGACCCCCACCCUCUCAGCAAUUAUUCCACUGCUUAAUGGAAAUGACAAGCCAGAAGCUUAUACGGAAUUAAUAAUGCAUUAAUAACUGCUAUGAUCUGGGAAACCAAACAGGCGGUGUUUUAAUAACAGAAUCAAUAGUUACUUGAAGCGAUGCUGGUUUAUUUUCCACGUACGGAGAUGGAGCGUGAGCUGCUGCAUUUUUAUCUUAGCUGGAAGUGUCGUCUUUCCCCUCACAGACGGGUUGCGUCACUGUCCUGGGUGAAUUUCCCUCAGCUUUUGUUUGUUGGUUUGUCUCAUUGUUUUCAUGAAAAGAAACUAUACGGCAUGAAACAUAUUAUUUAAAAACAUCGCUUUCCUACAAGCCACGUCUCUGUCAGAUGUUCCAAAAUAGAACUCAUUCGCGUUCAUCUAACGCUCGGUACCGUCAGCCCAUCACACAGUCGGCCCCUGAGCGGCAGAAAUCCCCCGUGACUCCGCGGCUGUGCGCGUCGCCGUUUACCGUGCGGGAGGCCCAGGCUGCGUCUGCACAGACAGAAAGGAGGAAACCAGCCAAAGGACUCAGGCCGGGAAGAGACAGUCACCCUGCCCUGUUUUGCCUCAAUUAUCUGGGAUUUUGCUUGUUUCAUCCAAUGAAUUACCUCCAUUUUCACAUCACCCUCUAUAGGUAGACACGGGCGAAACCUGAUCUUCUGGGCUUUUUUAUUUUGCUUUCUUUUAAAUUCUAAGCCAACUGCUAUUGCCUAUGAUUGUUGUCUCUACGUGACUCUAAACAGAAUAGGUGACCCACAGCUCUUUAUUAAAACAGUUCCCGAGAUUCUGAAAACAAAACAUCCAUAGCAUUCCCUCAAUAAAAAGAAAGGAUCAGACUUCAGACAAACAGAACAUUCUGGAAGCAGUUUUAGUAGAUUAUUCCAUCAAUCCAUUACUUCAGCGUCCUGUGUCUCUGACAUUCUUUGGGCUGACCCGGCCACCACUCAAUAAACACUCUGACGUGGGGUGGCAAAUGUAAUUUUCACCUAAACAGCUUUGUCCUCAUUCUGGAAGAAAGACUUUGCCUCUUUGAAAUAAAGUUCGUUUUCUCUCCUUUCUUUCUUUUAAUAAUUGAGAGUCUCUCCAUGGUGGUGAGAGAUUACCUGCUGGCUGAGGCAGGUAAUAACAGGUAUUUUCAAUCGUUGACUUUCCAGAAAAUCGGUUUAUUGUUUUUAGUGCUGUCUGAGUCCCAGAGCCAGGACAUUCUGCUCCGUUGUGUCGUGAAGGUGAAGCGGCCGUGUCUGUGAACCCACGGCGCCCUGCCUGGUCUGUGUGUGUUCUCAGCGGCAUUCACAGCGUUCCGUGUUCCAGGGAGAACCGGAC
ensembl:lncRNA